CGCUCGUUGGUCUAGGGGUAUGGUACUCGCUUUGGGUGCGAGAGGUCCCGGGUUCAAAUCCCGGACGAGCCC
rnacentral:tRNA from 1 species